GCCGACGUAGCUCAGUAGGUAGAGCACAUCAUUGGUAAUGAUGAGGUCACCGGUUCAAUCCCGGUCGUCGGCU
rnacentral:tRNA from 1 species